rnacentral:rRNA from 1 species
GACGGAGGAUGCAAGUGUUAUCCGGAAUCACUGGGCGUAAAGCGUCUGUAGGUGGUCAAAUAAGUUAACUGUUAAAUCUUGAGGCUCAACCUCAAAACCGCAGUCGAAACUAUUAGACUAGAGUAUAGUAGGGGUAAAGGGAAUUUCCAGUGGAGCGGUGAAAUGCGUAGAGAUUGGAAAGAACACCGAUGGCGAAGGCACUUUACUGGGCUAUGACUAACACUCAGAGACGAAAGCUAGGGUAGCAAAUGGG